rnacentral:rRNA from 1 species
AUUGGAAGUAAAAGUCGUAACAAGGUUUCCGUAGGUGAACCUGCGGAAGGAUCAUUAUAGAAAUAAAACUGAACAGGCUGUUUGCUGGUCCUUCUUGAGGGACAUGUGCACGCCUGUCAUCUUUAUUUUUCCAACUGUGCACAUAUUGUAGACCUGGUGUUUUUCUUAUCGUUCGAAUAGAUUGAGGACUGCCGUCGAGGCUUUGCCUUGUAUUUUCCAGGUCUAUGUUGUAAUACAUUUUCACAACGUGUCUCAGAAUGUCGAGUACUGGGGAUAACAAAUAUACAACUUUCAGCAACGGAUCUCUUGGCUCUCGCAUCGAUGAAGAACGCAGCGAAAUGCGAUAAGUAAUGUGAAUUGCAGAAUUCAGUGAAUCAUCGAAUCUUUGAACGCACAUUGCGCCCUUCGGUAUUCCGUUGGGCAUGCCUGUUCGAGCGUCAUUUAAACCUUCAAGCUAUGCUUGGUGUUGGGUGUUUGUUCCGCCUCAGCGCGUGGACUCGCCUCAAAUUCAUUGGCAGCCGGUAUGUUGGCUUCGUGCGCAGCACAUUGCAAGCGAUUUCAGCAGACUCCCUUCCAUAAGCCCUUUUUUUACUUUGACCUCGGAUCAGGUAGGGAUACCCGCUGAACUUAAGCAUAUCAAUAAGCGGAGGAAUC